GGAAAAAUACAGUAGUUUGUGUGUCAUCAGUUCAACUUGUAUAGGUGAUCUCUGAGUUUUCAUUUUUGAAAAUAGAGAUGUCAUUUUAUUUUCCAUGAAAGUUUGUCCCCUUGUAAUAUGAUUCCAUUUAUAUAAAGUUCAGGAAGAGGCAAAACUAAAGUAUGUUGUGUAUGACUGAAAUAUAACAGGUAAAACUAUAUUUUGAAAACAAGGAAAUUACUAUAAAAGUUAAGAUAGUGGUUAUCUUCAGAGGUCCGAGAGAGGGUUGUGAUUGGAAAGGGCCACACGAGCUUCUGGAUGCUCAUGGUACUCUUUCUUGACGUAAUGAUAUUACAUGGGUACCUGCUUUACAAUUAUUCAAACUGAACAUUUAAGUUAUAUGCAUUUUAUGCACAUUGUAUUUCUCAAAAAAAAAAAAAAAACAACAACAUUUUUUAAAUGGGGGGAAAGCCUACUGACUUCACUUGUAGCCUGACAUAGGUCCAUGUGGGGCUUUAAUAAUAACAUUUGGGGCUCGGUGCCUGUAGCUCAAGAGGCUAAGGCGCCCGACACAUACACCCGAGCUGGCAGGUUCAAAUCCAGCCUGGGCCUGCCAAACAACAAUGACAACUACCACCAAAAAGUAACUGGGCGUUGUUGCGGGCACCUGUUCUCCCAGCUACUUGGGAGACUGAGGCAAGAGAAUCUCUUAAGUCCAGGAGUUGGAGGUUGCUGUGAGCUGUGACGCCACAGUACUCUACCCAGGAUGACAGCUUGAGGCUCUGUCUCAAAAAAAGCAACAACAACAACAACAACAAAAAAAAAAUUGGGGGGAAAGAGAUGAGGAAAUGGCAGUUCUGCUGGUCUUAAAUUAGAACAAGAGUUGGGUUCUAACAGGUAUUUUGUGAUCUAGAGAGUAGGUAUUAAAUAUACGAUUUGGUGGGAAUAGUGGGUAGGGGUGUGUGUGUGUAGAGAUCGGACACAAAAGGAAAAUGUGAAGAAAGGUUUGAAUGAAAACAAAGCAGAUGUUGCCACCUUGAAAUUAAAUAAGAAUGAGUGUAUUCAAUUGGCACCAUUACCCAGGUUUCCUCCACAGAUAGGAGUUAGUCCUAUAUGGCAAAUUGUUUGCAUUUUUAUUUAGAAAUAACCUCUUCCUUUACACUGUUGGUGGGACUGCAAACUAAUUCUACCUCUUUGGAAAGAAGUAUGGAGAAUCCUCAAAGAACUCAAAUUAGAUCUCCCAUUUGAUUCCUCAAAUCCCACUGUUAGUCAUGUAUUCAGAAGAAAAAAAAACAUCAUUCUAUCUUCAAGCCAUUUGUACUAUGUUGUUUAUCGCAGCUCAAUUUACAAUUGGCAAAAUGUGAAAACAAUCUAAAUGCCACCAACCAGGAAUGGAUAUACCAAACUGUGGUAUAUGUAUACCAUGGAAUACUAUUCAGCCAUUAAAAAAGAUGGGGACAUUACAUCUUUUGUAUUAAUCUGGAUGGAAUUGAAACACAUUCUUCUUAGUAAAGUAUCACAGAGUAGAGAAGCAAGAAUCCAAGGUACUCAAUACUAACAUGGGGCCAGUAGAUAAUCUGAUACAUUCCCACAUAAGAGAAAAACUCAAAUCAAUUCAAGGUCUGGGAUGGGGAAAGAGGGAGCAGGGAGAGGGGAAGGAGGAGGAUGGAGGUGCUCACACUCAAUGGGCCCAAUGUUCGAGUGCAUGGCACACUUCUUGGGGGCAGUACACAAUUAUAAGAGGAACUCUACCUAACUAAUGCAAACAUUGUAACCUAUUUCGUGUGCCCUCAGAUUAACCCGAAACAAUAAUAAAAUCUUAAAAAAGAAAUAACAAAUAACCUUAUCCUUUUUCAGAAUUCUCAGUGAAAAUCAUAUGACCGAAUUACAUAAAGAUUCAUUUGAAGGCCUGCUAUCCCUCCAGUAUUUAGAUUUAUCCUGCAAUAAAAUCCAAUUUAUUGAAAGACGUACCUUUGAAUCACUACCAUUUCUGCAGUAUGUAAAUCUUGGUUGCAAUUUAAUCACUGAACUGAGCUUCGGAACGUUUCAGGCGUGGCAUGGAAUGCAAUUUUUACACAAGGUGUAAGUGAAAUAGAUGAACACAUAAAAAGCUAUGUGUAAAAGCAUCAUUCAGUUAUCAGUUAACUAGGUAUCAGCUCAUUAUGAACUCUGAAUAGCAUAUCUUAAGAUCUAUCCAAUUUUUCUUUUUUAAUUUUUUUUAAAGUUAUAUUUAUAUUUCAGAGAAAGGAUCCAUCCAUUUUUUUCAGGUGAGGAAACUAAGGGACAAAGGGGCCAGGAGACUUGUGUAACUUCCAUAUGACAUGCUCUGCUUUCCCUAGAAAUGAUCUUUGGUAUGGGUGAUAAAAGAUGUCAAGCAAGUAAUGCUCAAAUUAGCAUUGUCUUGGGAGCCCUAGCAAUGCUGCUUUGAUAUGUGAAUUGUCCUUGAAAUCCUACGUUUGAAUAUAACUUUGAUUCCUACUCAUGUACGGUUUCUAACCGCUGAAAUGUAUACAGUAUACAGCCACAAAGAAGGAAGCGUAACACAAAGUCCUCCAGGGUGCAAAAGGGGAAGGAUGUUUUGUCGGAGUCAGUUUCUUUUAGUUUUCUAUUUAUUUAUUUAUUUAUUUUUUGAUAGAGACAGAGUCUUACUUUAUUGCCCUCGGUAGAGUGCUGUGGCAUCACACUGCUCACAGCAACCUCCAACUCCUGAGUUUAGGUGAUUGUCUUGCCUCAGCCUCCCAAGUACCUGUGACCACAGGCCCACGCCACAACGCCUGGCUCUUUAUUUUUGUUGCAGUUUGGCCGGGGCUGGGUUUGAACCCGCGACCCUUGGUGUAUGGGCCCCAUGCCCUACGCACUGAGCCACUGGUGCCACCCAGAGUCAG